CCUGGCUUAUGCUUCGUAACUCAUUGGCCCGGAAUGGUGUUGCACUAGGAUCCUCAUACCAAGUUUAAUUUCCUUCACGAGUUGAGUUGACAAAAGAUCACAGAUACUAAGCCCUGGAAUUACCUAAGAUAUUGCCCUCUGCGCUCGGCAAACGAAAUCCAACCGAAGACCCUUCAGAAAAGAAGUACAUGUUGGUUUACACUCAGAAAUCCAUUUUGCACAGGGCAGGCACUUGUACAUUGGGAAGCCCUGAAUGACAGGCAGUUCUGCCAGCUCCUGCAUGAGAAAAAG